rnacentral:rRNA from 1 species
AACGAACGCUGGCGGCAUGCCUAACACAUGCAAGUCGAACGAGAUCUUCGGGUCUAGUGGCGCACGGGUGCGUAACGCGUGGGAAUCUGCCCUUUGGUUCGGAAUAACAGUUGGAAACGACUGCUAAUACCGGAUGAUGACGAAAGUCCAAAGAUUUAUCGCCAGAGGAUGAGCCCGCGUAGGAUUAGCUAGUUGGUGUGGUAAAGGCGCACCAAGGCGACGAUCCUUAGCUGGUCCGAGAGGAUGAUCAGCCACACUGGGACUGAGACACGGCCCAGACUCCUACGGGGGGCAGCAGUAGGGAAUAUUGGACAAUGGGCGAAAGCCUGAUCCAGCAAUGCCGCGUGAGUGAUGAAGGCCUUAGGGUUGUAAAGCUCUUUUACCCGGGAUGAUAAUGACAGUACCGGGAGAAUAAGCUCCGGCUAACUCCGUGCCAGCCGCCGCCGUAA